AUUAUAUCAACUGAUAGUUUUAUCAUUUUUAAGGUUGAUUUUUGGUGAUCGUGAGAUUAUCACAAAAAUGUGAAGACCAGAAUAAAAUCAUUCAUAAUCCUACUAACCAGAAAUAAUCAAUAGUAACUUUUAAGUUAUUCCCUCUUGAUAUGUAUAGUUCUUUAUGGCUUUUUCUAUCUAAAAGUAUAUUAUAAGCAUUUACUUAUAUUACAUUGAAAUUCUUUUCAUAAUGGAUGUACUGGAAUCUACAUAAUCAAUUUCCUAAUUUAGACAUUAAGAUUCUUCUAAUCUCCACAGGAAAUAUUUUUUGUAAGCCUUUGUCUGCAUUUCUGAUCAGUGCCUAAGGAUAAAUUCCUAAAAGUUAAAUUAUUGGAUCAAUCUCAUGCAUUCAUUGCUGUGUAACAAACCACUUUAAAACUUACUGACACUUAUUAAUAUUAAAUAUUGGCAUUUUUAAAACCCUCUACUUAUUUACUGGUAGGUAAAAUAUGAGAUCUCAUUGUCUUACUUUGAAUUUGCUUAUUAGUGAACUUGCCUAUGCUUGAUAGAGUUCAUAUUUCUAUGUGAAUUGUCUAUUCAUUUGGGGGACUAAUUUGUUCAUGCUAAACGACCUUAUAGAAUUACAUGAGUUAUUUAUGAAUUACUUUAAGAGAAUGUGCCAUAUUUGUUAUAUACAU
rnacentral:lncRNA from 1 species